CUACCCUUUCCGGUAGAUCAGUUCAAUUCUAUUAUGGGUUAGGUCUAAUGUAAAUUGGCAGUUCAGCGGAAAAGGUGUCGCUAAAACGUUGACAGGAACGCAGAACAGAAGAGGAAAAAUGUUAUAUCAAGUAAAGGGAUAAGACAUCGAUUAUCCGUGAAAUUAAAAACACAGUGAAGGUACUUACACAGGAAAUCGUGAAAUUUUAGACACGUGGAAUUAAAGACGUUUACAACGAGGACUUAAUGUUUUGAAACUCGGCAACGUGAAGUCCGCACGCUCGGUUGAGAACUGCGGUACAACUGGUGCCAGCGGUGGGAUCCACAUGGAUUUUACGAACCGUAAAUGCUAGGAUUAGAUAGAUUCAAUGAAAUAGUGAAAAUGGUCAAACUCCCAUUUGUGAAACAUUACUCCAUAAAAAAAAAAACGGAUUUGGGUAUUUUAAAUAUGUUGUGGACUUGGAGCAUUAAAAUUUGAAGUGUACCAGAUGUGAUAAAGUAUUUUCCAAAUCCAAAGCAAAAUAGAAAGUUGUAUUGGAGUGUGAAAAAUGUGCAAUUUCAGUGUUCCGAUUUGUUUGUCCAGUUUGUGGUCAUAUGGAAUAUCGUUAGUACCUUCCCAAAAUGAGUUUUGUCAACCUAUACGAUGUAGAUGAAUUCGGAAAUUUUGUGUUAAUUGGAUCUGUUAAAGUUAACUUACGGAAAGAAUGUCCGAACUGCUAUGUAAUGUUUGUGAAAAUUGAGAAUCACCACUGUCUUCACAGAAAAAAAUGGAUAUGUCCGUAAAUAUUAUAAGUGUCCGUGUUGUGGGUGCAGAAUCAAAGUCUACGAAGAGUUCCAGAGACUUUGAGUGAUUUAAUCUGAUUGUUUCAAGUUUAUUUUUACACUGGAUUUAAUUACUGCAUUUAUAGCAUUAACACAUUGUGCGUGUUAUUUUCAACAUAAUGUUUGGAGGGAAAUAUACGUUGACUUUGUCAACGUUAACUCCUUGUAGAAUGGCCUGACAGAUUAUCUUGUGGUGUUCCUGUAGGACAUAAGUAUUCUUUGUCUGGCUUGGAUAGUGCACAGUCAACUGAAAGAAUCAAGCAUUAGUUUAAUCAAUUGUUUUUCCUUUGUUCUUAUCUUUCAUUCAUACUCAUCUUUUUCUAUUUUGCAUUUCAGUAAAAUUUUCAGUUUUUGCUCUCUUAAUCUAAUAGCUCUGAUUCAGGCUUCAUUUUUCUACUGACACUAUCUAUUUGAUAAAACAGCUGUCAGAUUGUUAAUACAUUUUAUCAGUUAGUUAUAUAUUUUAACAUAUCAUGUAUUUAUACCUUUCUUUGGGAUAAAAAUCAAAUUUCAAUGUGAAGCAAAAAUAUGUCAUUUUUCCUGUAAUUCCAAGAAACAAAAGACAACUUAGAACUAAACAUGCAAAUAGAAACAUUAUUCAAAAAGGCAAUAAUUUGAUCAGUAUUAAUUCUAUGACACUUCCUUUAAAAAUUUACAAGGAAACUGCAAAUAUUAAUGAAUGUUUGUAAAUUAAUAAAUAUGCCUUUUGGUACUCAAACAUAAACUUAAAUAAUAAAACAGAUAAUAUAAAUAUAAUAAAUCUAAUUUCAUUCCUCUCUCAGAAAAAAGACUCAGAUGAAAAUUGAUUGUACAUGUAUAUCAUAACACUGGCAUUUACACAUUGAUAAGACAAUUUGGAUUUUUUUUUUUUUGGAAUACAUGUACAUAUCAAACUUAACAUUCCUGAGUAGUAUUGUUGCUUUUGCAAGCAUUCCAAAACAAUGUUUACCUCUUCUAGCACUUUUACAACAUAUUUAAGAUCAUUUAGAUUUGCUUAAAUUCAAAUGAAAUAGCCUGUACGCCCACUUUCAUAUCCUAAGUUUUGGAAGACUUGUCUAAUUAAAUGAACAAAACAAAGAAGUUGUGAAUUAAACUGUAACACAAAAACCAACAGUUUUGACACCUUUACUUCUCCUGUAUAAGCAGAGUUAUCUACAUGUAUAUUACUGAUAUUGCUGAAGCCAAGAGAUCUUCUGACUUUCUUUGUAGCUUCAUUUGAACCUACAGCUGACAACGGCCCAUAUACAUACAUAUAGAUGUAUGUAUUACUUAUCCUCAGAAAUUCUUAUUUGGUUAUAGAGAGCAGUGAAACACCAUUUUUUUUGUUACAGGUACCGGUAAAGCUUUUCAAUAGAUAAGAAUGCCUGCAUUAGAGACAAUUUAAUGUUUUACUGUAGCUAAAGAAUUACAUGUAUAAUACAUGUUACAAUGUAAAGAAAGUUCUGGUAUAUUGUUGUUACCCUGUUCCGUCCGUCCGUCCGUCCGUCUGUCACGUUUUACUUUCUCAAACUACUCUUACAUCUUAUAAACCAGCAAACUGAACUCUUGGAGUUUGAUUUGGGGUGUUAUGUUGUUUUGUAGAAAUGUUUCAAAAAUU